AUUGAACGCUGGCGGCAGGCUUAACACAUGCAAGUCGAGCGAGCGGCGGACGGGUGAGUAAUGUCUGGGAAAGUGCCUGAUGGAGGGGGAUAACUACUGGAAACGGUAGCUAAUACCGCAUACGAUUAGAUGGGACGACAUGGGCUUAGCUAGUUGGUGGGGUAAUGGCUCACCUAGGCGACGAUCCUUAGCUGGCCUGAGAGGAUGACCAGCCACACUGGAACUGAGACACGGUCCAGACUCCUACGGGAGGCAGCAGUGGGGAAUAUUGCACAAUGGGCGAAAGCCUGAUGCAGCCAUGCCGCGUGUGUGAAGAAGGCCUUCGGGUUGUAAAGCACUUUCAGCAAGGAGGCGUUACUCGAAGAAGAAGCACCGGCUAACUCCGUGCCAGCAGCCGCGGUAAUUC
rnacentral:rRNA from 1 species